GGGUCCACACAAGCGGUGGAACAUGUGGUUUAAUUCGACAAUACGCGAGGAACCUUACCUGGGCUUGACAUGCCCUGACAACCAUAGAAAUAUGGCUUUCCAAGCUUUUGUUUGGACAGGUGCACAGGUGCUGCAUGGCUGUCGUCAGCUCGUGUCGUGAGAUGUUAGGUUAAGUCCUCUAACGAGCGCAACCCCUACUGCCAGUUGCCACUUGCGUGAGCAAAGCACUCUGGCGGGACUGCUUGGGAAACCAAGAGGAAGGUGGGGACGACGUCAAGUCAUCAUGGUCCUUAUGUCCAGGGGCUACACACGUGUUACAAUGGCCGGUACAGCAAGAUGCAAUCCUGUAAGGGGGAGCAAAACUUUAAAGCCGGUCUAAGUUCGGAUUGAGGUCUGCAACUCGACCUCAUGAAGUUGAAAUCGCUAGUAA
rnacentral:rRNA from 1 species